rnacentral:rRNA from 1 species
UAAAAACCCCGACUUCGGAAGGGGUGUAUUUAUUAGAUACAAAACCAAUGCCCUUCGGGGCUCUUUGGUGAUUCAUGAUAACUAUACGAAUCGCACGGCCUUGCGCCGGCGAUGGUUCAUUCAAAUUUCUUCCCUAUCAACUUUCGAUGUUUGGGUAUUGGCCAAACAUGGUUGCAACGGGUAACGGAGGGUUAGGGCUCGACCCCGGAGAAGGAGCCUGAGAAACGGCUACUACAUCCAAGGAAGGCAGCAGGCGCGCAAAUUACCCAAUCCCGACUCGGGGAGGUAGUGACAAUAAAUACUGAUACAGGGCCCUUUCGGGCCUUGUAAUUGGAAUGAGUACAAUUUAAAUCCCUUAACGAGGAACAAUUGGAGGGCAAGUCUGGUGCCAGCAGCCGCGGUAAUUCCAGCUCCAAUAGCGUAUAUUAAAGUUGUUGCAGUUAAAAAGCUCGUAGUUGAAUCUCUGGCCGGUUGCGUUCACGGCAUUCGUCGGCUCGUCAGCCUGGUCAUCCGUAGGGGAAUCAGGUUCGGUCUUCACUGGUCGGCUUGUGGAACCUACAUUUUACUGUGAAAAAA